rnacentral:tRNA from 1 species
GGUGGGGUUCCCGAGCGGCCAAAAAGAGCAGACUGUAAAUCUGCCGUCAUCGACUUCGAAGGUUCGAAUCCUUCCCCCACCACCA